UACGGAGGGUGCGAGCGUUGUCCGGAAUCACUGGGCGUAAAGGGCGCGUAGGCGGCCUGGCAAGUCGGUGGUGAAAGCUCGGGGCUCAACUCCGGAAUUGCCUUUAAGACUGCAUCGCUAGAAUUGUGGAGAGGUAAGUGGAAUUCCGAGUGUAGAGGUGAAAUUCGUAGAUAUUCGGAAGAACACCAGUGGCGAAGGCGACUUACUGGACACAUAUUGACGCUGAGGUGCGAAAGCGUGGGGAGCAAACAGG
rnacentral:rRNA from 1 species